rnacentral:rRNA from 1 species
UACGAAGGGGGCUAGCGUUAAUCGGAAUUACUGGGCGUAAAGCGUGCGCAGGCGGUUUUGUAAGUCAGAUGUGAAAUCCCCGGGCUCAACCUGGGAAUGGCAUUUGGGACUGCAAGGCUGGAGUGUGGCAGAGGAGACUGGAAUUCCUGGUGUAGCAGUGAAAUGCGUAGAUAUCAGGAGGAAUACCGAUGGCGAAGGCAGGUCUCUGGGCUGACACUGACGCUCAUGCACGAAAGCGAGGGAGCAAACAGG